GAUCGUCCCAAGAUCAUUAAUGGCACAGGAAGAGGAGACUCCAAAGAUCAUUCGAGCAGCUCCCAUUCAUGGUACUAUUGUGAUGGAUGAGGUGGAUCCGGAUGUGCUGUAUAGUGCUGUGAUGAACAUGCCUGGCUUUGCUGAGGAAUCUCUAUUAGUUGCCCUGUCUCAGUUGAUGGACAACACUGCUCAGGGCUCUGCAUAUAUGGCCAUGAGCGAGGAGGACCGGGUAUCAUGGCUCAUUAACUUCCUGAAAAA
rnacentral:rRNA from 1 species